rnacentral:ribozyme from 1 species
AAACAAAAGAUUUCGGUGUUCACGAGGACAACGUUCACUUAUUGUUGUGUGAAAUGUGCAAUUCUCUUUGCUUUUGAUGUUUUUUUCUUCUUCUUCUUCCGUCUACCUCUCUUGGUCCCAUCUC